UACGUCCAGCGGGGUGGGAAGCGAGUAAAGCCACGUGUAGAGGAGACCGGCUGUCGCCUCCUACUGGCCGCGGCACCCUCUGCCACCAGCCCGGGGUCCCUGAGACCCCAGGCCUUCCUCGCGGGGCCCCUGGCACCCACGCCUUCCCGCGGAACGGAACCGAGGAGCCGCGCCCCGCUGAGCCGCUGGGGCCCGGACGAUGCCCCCGGAAGUGGGCCCGGGGCGGCGCAGGCGGCCGCGGUGGGUGAGCCGCGCGCGACUGUCCUCUUAAACCCCGCUGCUUUGCUCUCUUCGCAGGGUUUCCGCGGGAAGGGAGGAACUUCCAGGCCCCGGCGGUGGGGUGAAGGCGUGCAGAGACUCCUCCCUCCAGAAAGUGACCUCCGUGUGGGUGACCAGGACAUAAAGAAAAGCGUGGUCCUGGCCAGGCGCACAGCUCGGUGGAGGAGCACCUGCUCAGUAUGCACGAGCCCUGGGUUGAGGGUAGACAUCAGUAAGUGCAUGGGACAACAGGAGGGGGCGCUUUUAAAGGGACCCAUCGGUGUGAGACCCCGAGGCAGCCAAGGCUGUUUUUAGCUGAGGCAACAUAACAAAGGCAGGAACUGAGAGAGGGCUCGAGGGGACAUGGGGAGCAGCGGUGCGUGGGCUGGGCUUGGGAGAUGCAUGGCCAUGGAGGGGAAGGAAAGUGAAGUGGGAAUGUGUGGUGGGGGACUUUGCCUGGCAGAUUCAGGCUGAUUGUGGCUUAACCAGCAGGUUUCUGAGGAAUGAAAGCAACAGUUAAAGCCUGAUUAAGCAGGAUGGGGCAGGACGUCACUGUGAUCGCUUUGGUGGUAUGUGACCAGUGCUGGGUCGGCCAGCGCCUGAAGCCCUGGGGGGUGGGGGGCGGUGGAAGCAGGGUCUUCACAGGGCAGAACCCCAAGGCAUCUUCUGCGUGGCAUCCGGGUGGAGGUGGACUGCCAAUGUCGAGGGCACUUCGUGGUGCAACAGUUUUCAGUGCUCACACUUGGUGAAGUAGAACAGGAAUAAUGAGGUGUCCUUCCUUGCAGGUUAGCGUCCCUGGAGCUUGCUGUGUUGGCUGGUGCUCCUGACGGUGGUCCUGCAGGUUCUGUGCUGGCAUGGGCUCUUGUGGGUUAGGGCCUCCAGGUUGGUUUGGUUCCAUUCUGACCCACGUGUGUGGUGAAGACCUGCUGGAGACGGCUCCACGUGCAUCCAAAUAAACCAAGUGCAACCCUA